rnacentral:rRNA from 1 species
UUAAAUUGAAGAGUUUGAUCAUGGCUCAGAUUGAACGCUGACGGCAGGCCUAACACAUGCAAGUCGAACGGUAACAGGAAGCAGCUUGCUGCUU